rnacentral:rRNA from 1 species
AGAGACAGCAGUCGCCACGGUAAUACGUAGGUGGCAAGCGUUGUCCGGAAUUAUUGGGCGUAAAGCGCGCGCAGGCGGAUCAGUUAGUCUGUCUUAAAAGUUCGGGGCUUAACCCCGUGAUGGGAUGGAAACUGCUGAUCUAGAGUAUCGGAGAGGAAAGUGGAAUUCCUAGUGUAGCGGUGAAAUGCGUAGAUAUUAGGAAGAACACCAGUGGCGAAGGCGACUUUCUGGACGAAAACUGACGCUGAGGCGCGAAAGCCAGGGGAGCGAACGGGAUUAGAUACCCCUGUAGUCCCUGUCUCUUAUACA